AAAUGAAAGCUUGGAUGAGACUAUAAAGAAAGUAAAGCAAAGAGGACAUUCUUUUCCAACUUGGUUCCCUUUCAAAUACACGGAUUGCAUUCUGAGAGAGGGAAACUGAACAAGACGCAGCAGAAUGGAUUUCCUCUCUGUAAGUUUUCUCCGGUCCCUUAAUUGUGUUUAAGCCUUGUUGAGUACUUUGUUUACGGUCCCUAGUGUGGUGAUUUGCAUCCCCCUCUCUGGGUUGCUGUUGGUCCGAGCUGGCAGCUGUCUCAGUCCGAUUCUGGCUGGGAAAGUGGAGAUUCCUGUCCUGUCAUUUUACUGGCUGAGGAGUCACUCGCUACAGGCUCUUUCCCCAGAAGCUGACGGAAGAAACUCAAGCGCUGUUGUUUCUGCCCUCCCAAGUCUGCUGUCUCGGCUGCUAAUGGAUUGCUUUCCUCUGAGCUUCCACCCUGGAGAGACCCCCCAGAUCUAGUCUGUGAACCCG
rnacentral:lncRNA from 1 species